UUACAUCUCACGGCAUCGAAUUUAAGAAGGAGUAUAAGGCAGAUAAAUUCAUCCUUUUGCCAAGGACAUUCGUAAUUAUCAGAGCCUUUGCUGUUUUCCCUGACUGAGGUGAAUCAGCUGUUUAACUAACUAAACAGCAAAAAGAACGUCUGAUACUCCUGGAACUGUGUAUUUGGAAGGUGCCCUCAGUGCUGUUGCAGAUGCUCUAUAGACUAAACAUUGUGUAAGUAUGAAGUACACUGACUG
rnacentral:lncRNA from 1 species